GUUUGGCUCCGGUCCUUCAGGAAAGCAGGGUGGAGCGCGUGAAGCUCCAAUGUGUGUGCACCCCCACCCCUCCUCGCCAUGCAGGUGUGCGUGACAGACAAGUUGGAGCAGAAAACAGACAUACACAAGGAUAACAAAGACCAAGAGCUUUCAGAUGAAAAGAAAACACUGGAAGUCUGGGAUCAGAAGAAUGCCUUUGGUUGGAUUCAAACAGAGAAACUGAAAAGGGGUGGGGCAACUCCGGAUCAAAGAGGUCACAGCAGCUAUGGAUCAAAAUUUAUGGAGAAGCUUUCACUGCACUUCUAAAUACAGGAAUGUGUCAUCUGCAAAAAAAAA